rnacentral:siRNA from 1 species
UGACCUGCCGAAUAUCCAA